GCUGCAAUGCUUCUGAGAGGAAGGGAGAUUUUCAAAGAGCCUUUGUCAGCCCAGGAGUGAGUGAGUUAAUCCAUCCACCUGCCCCAACUGAGAGCAGAAGACACUGUUUAUAGGACUGAAGACAGAGGUGCUGGGUGCAAGGACUGAGACUAAGAAUGGAAAUGCGAGAACCAGGAUUCAGGGGCUGGAGUGCAGUGGCACGAUCUCAGCUCACCGCAACCUCCACCUCCCAGGUUCAAGUGAUUCUCCUGCCUCAGCCUCCCGAGUAGCUGGGAUUACAGGCACCCGCUAACAUGCCCUUCUAACCCAGUGUUCAACUCCCCGCAAAACUUUCCCAGAGCCAUCUGAAGCCCACGGCAUUCUGUUCCAAGAUGAGUUAAAUGAGAAGCAAAGGCUGUAAACGACUAAUGCAGUCUAUGUAACUAGAAAUAAAUUACUGUCUAUGUGUAAACUAUUCUUUCCUGAUCAGCUCUACCAAUGUGUUACCCAGAAAAAUAGUUUAAUCAGUCAAUCUCUCUUCCUCUUGGGUACUAGUGAUAGACUAUAUUGGGCAAAAUUCAAAUGACUAAGAGCAAAAGGAGAGAAGCAAAUAUGUAUUGAUCAGGGUAUUACCAUUUACAGACAAUCCCUUACUCACAGGAGUGAACAUUCACUGAGGCUAUGCUAAGCCAGAUGUUGCUAUCUGUGUAGGAUUUCAUUCUGUGACCAGACAGCUCUACCUGGAGGGACUAGUGUCAAACCCAUUUUAAAGAUGGGAAAACUGAAGCUCAGGAUGUUGA
rnacentral:lncRNA from 1 species